GAUGAACGCUGGCGGCGUGCUUAACACAUGCAAGUCGAACGGAAAGGCCCUGCUUUUGUGGGGUGCUCGAGUGGCGAACGGGUGAGUAACACGUGAGUAACCUGCACUUGACUUUGGGAUAACUUCAGGAAACUGGGGCUCAUACCGGAUAGGAGCUCCUGCUGCAUGGUGGGGGUUGGAAAGUUUCGGCGGUUGGGGAUGGACUCGCGGCUUAUCAGCUUGUUGGUGGGGUAGUGGCUUACCAAGGCUUUGACGGGUAGCCGGCCUGAGAGGGUGACCGGCGACAUGGGGACUGAGAGACGGCCCAGACGCCUACGGGAGGCAGCAGUGGGGAAUAUUGCAGAAUGGGCGGAAGCCAGAUACAGCAACGCCGCGUUCGGGAUGACGGCCUUCGGGGUGUAAACCGCUUUCGCCUGUGACGAAGCGGGAGUGACGGUAAUUGGUAAAGAAGCACCGGCUAACUACGUG
rnacentral:rRNA from 1 species